CAGGUUCGUGUCGAACGCAGUGAGACAACGGAGCCGCUUGCGGCGACGGCCCGAAGGGCGAGCGAAGCGAGUCAUCCUGCACGACCCACCA
rnacentral:sRNA from 1 species